AGCGAACGCUGGCGGCAGGCCUAACACAUGCAAGUCGAACGAACUCUUCGGAGUUAGUGGCGGACGGGUGAGUAACACGUGGGAACGUGCCCUUUGGUAUGGAAUAACUCAGGGAAACUUGAGCUAAUACCGUAUGUGCCCUUCGGGGGAAAGAUUUAUCGCCAUUGGAGCGGCCCGCGUCUGAUUAGCUAGUUGGUGAGGUAAAGGCUCACCAAGGCUACGAUCAGUAGCUGGUCUGAGAGGAUGAUCAGCCACAUUGGGACUGAGACACGGCCCAAACUCCUACGGGAGGCAGCAGUGGGGAAUCUUGCGCAAUGGGCGAAAGCCUGACGCAGCCAUGCCGCGUGAAUGAUGAAGGUCUUAGGAUUGUAAAAUUCUUUCACCGGGGACGAUAAUGACGGUACCCGGAGAAGAAGCCCCGGCUAACUUCGUGCCAGCCGCCGCGGUAAUAC
rnacentral:rRNA from 1 species